rnacentral:rRNA from 1 species
UCCCGGCCCUGCCCUCACGGGCGGAGCGCCCGCCGGAGGAUACCAAACUCUAUUUUAACGACGUUUCUUCUGAGUGGCACAAGCAAAUAAUUAAAACUUUCAACAACGGAUCUCUUGGUUCUGGCAUCGAUGAAGAACGCAGCGAAAUGCGAUAAGUAAUGUGAAUUGCAGAAUUCAGUGAAUCAUCGAAUCUUUGAACGCACAUUGCGCCCGCCAGCAUUCUGGCGGGCAUGCCUGUUCGAGCGUCAUUUCAACCCUCAAGCUCUGCUUGGUGUUGGGGCCCUACGGUUGACGUAGGCCCUUAAAGGUAGUGGCGGACCCUCUCGGAGCCUCCUUUGCGUAGUAACUAACGUCUCGCACUGGGAUUCGGAGGGACUCUUGCCGUAAAACCCCCAAAUUUUUAAAGGUUGACCUCGGAUCAGGUAGGAAUACCCGCUGAACUUAAGCAUA